UACGUAGGGGGCAAGCGUUAUCCGGAAUCAUUGGGCGUAAAGCGCGUGUAGGCGGUCCGGUAAGUCCGCUGUGAAAGUCGGGGGCUCAACCCUCGGAUGCCGGUGGAUACUGUCGGGCUUGAGUACGGAAGAGGCAAGUGGAAUUCCUGGUGUAGCGGUGAAAUGCGCAGAUAUCAGGAGGAACACCAAUGGCGAAGGCAGCUCGCUGGGACGUGACUGACGCUGAGACGCGAAAGCGUGGGGAGCAAACAGG
rnacentral:rRNA from 1 species